UACGGAGGGUGCAAGCGUUGUUCGGAAUUACUGGGCGUAAAGCGCGUGUAGGCGGUCAGGUAAGUCAGAUGUGAAAGCCUUCCGCUUAACGGAAGAAGGGCAUUUGAAACUGCUUGGCUGGAGUACGGGAGAGGAGAGUAGAAUUCCCGGUGUAGAGGUGAAAUUCGUAGAUAUCGGGAGGAACACCAGUGGCGAAGGCGGCUCUCUGGCCCGACACUGACGCUGAGACGCGAAAGCGUGGGGAGCAAACAGG
rnacentral:rRNA from 1 species